AGGAUGAACGCUGGCGGCGUGCUUAACACAUGCAAGUCGAACGGUGAAGUGAGGAGCUUGCUCCUUGCGGAUCAGUGGCGAACGGGUGAGUAACACGUGAGUAACCUGCCCUUGACUCUGGGAUAAGCGUUGGAAACGACGUCUAAUACCGGAUACGACCUCCGAAGGCAUCUUCUGGAGGUGGAAAGAAUUUCGGUCAAGGAUGGACUCGCGGCCUAUCAGCUAGUUGGUGAGGUAAUGGCCCACCAAGGCGACGACGGGUAGCCGGCCUGAGAGGGUGACCGGCCACACUGGGACUGAGACACGGCCCAGACUCCUACGGGAGGCAGCAGUGGGGAAUAUUGCACAAUGGGCGCAAGCCUGAUGCAGCAACGCCGCGUGAGGGACGACGGCCUUCGGGUUGUAAACCUCUUUAGUAGGGAAGAAGCGAUGUGCUUGUCACAUCAUGACGGUACCUGACAGAAAAGCACCGGCUAACUACGUGCCAGC
rnacentral:rRNA from 1 species